AAAAAGGAAGGUCGUUGCAUGAAUAAAUAAUUAAUUAAACGAUUGGAAGAAAGGGUAAGAGUAAAUGGCCAAUUAUAACAGCUGAGGGAGGUCACCAAUGGAGACCCACAGGGACUGUGCUAGGACUCAUGCUGUUUAACAUAUUCUUAAAUGCUGAGAAGCAGAGGGUGGGCUGAGAAGGAGCAAAUUUUACCGAGAAUACCAGUUUAUUCAGGGGAAGAAAUUUGAAGGCCAGCAGUGGAAAACUUCCAGCACACCAAAAAGAGUCUUUCUGCCAUCAUUUCUUCCAUUUCCUCUCAGUGAUUCCUAAGCAGAGGCUAAUCUCUGUGAAGCACCUGCAAGCAGCCAUCUUCUUAAGCCAAGAAAUCCACCAAAGGAUAUUGGAUAUUGAAUUUCACUGGCCCACGAUAAGGAGGUAGAGACUUAUGAUAUCAGAUAGCAGAAGAAUGACUUCAAGCCAGCGUACUGAAGCAAAAGCAACUGCAUGUGGCUGAAGAGCAUGGAACAGUGCUGAAAGGAGGAGAUUUAACUUGUAAUCUCUAAGCAAGAUAAAGAAAGUCUAAAGGCCAGGAAUCAUUAGUCCAUGACCUAUACAUAAUAGGCACUGAUGCUCAUCAAAGUUAGAUCUUGGUACAUACCUUGUUAUACCUGCUUGGCAAUUUGGUUAUAUUUCAUGACAAACUUCUGCUAGCAGAUUUUCUACUGAAUAAACUCUAAAGUCUUUGACUUCCUCCUACUUAUUUCAUACUUUUCUUUAUAUUGCAUUUUUUUUUCCUAAAUCAUAUUCAUACUUGACUUAUCCCAAAAAUAUAUUAAAGAAAUAUUAAAGAACUUUGC
ensembl:lncRNA